CAGAUCAUCCUUGGUGUGAGAGAAGCUCAGAGAGGGGGCAUGAAAAACCAAAGAGAGGAGUGGGCAUCCGUGCGUGAGAAAAAGAGGAAGAAGGUUCCUCUUUGGGGUGUGAGAUCUAGGUUGGGGUUCUAGGGUUUCCUAGUUUCAAUUUUGUGUGAGAGAAAAAUAAAAGAAGUUUUGUUCUUCUUCUUCGAUGCCAUCUUCUCCUUGAAAAGCUCCAUCUUUUGAUCUAGAGAUGUCCAUUUGAUCUGAAGAAAGGAGUCUCCAUCAGCCAUCCAGAGCCUUCAUCAUGAGCUGGCACUCUCGAGAAGGA
rnacentral:lncRNA from 1 species